UAAGGGGGGUCUAUGGACAUGUUUGUUACAUUAAACAUUGACGGAGGGUCAACAAGUUUGGAAUCAAGUCCUACAAUGGAAAUUUGGCUCUUGAGAACCAUCAGUAUCCUUUCUAUUUGAGGGGACAAACUUUGAAAUCACGAUUUUUGGAAGAAAGGGUCGAGCUAGUGUAAAUGUUCUUUUAUUAAGCUCUUUUGUAAUCGAAAACCUUAGUUGUAGUUUGAUCAAGUAUCACAUUUUGACUUGUAAUGUUUUCAAUCUAUGUAUCUAAGUGUUUAACCCUGUAAAUUAAGUGUAUUUGUUUGAGUUGUUAUGUU